rnacentral:rRNA from 1 species
CCUACGGGUGGCAGCAGUGAGGAAUAUUGGUCAAUGGACGAGAGUCUGAACCAGCCAAGUAGCGUGAAGGAUGACUGCCCUAUGGGUUGUAAACUUCUUUUAUAUGGGAAUAAAAUGUUCCACGUGUGGGAUUUUGUAUGUACCAUAUGAAUAAGGAUCGGCUAACUCCGUUCCAGCAGCCGCGGUAAUACGGAGGAUCCGAGCGUUAUCCGGAUUUAUUGGGUUUAAAGGGAGAGUAGGUGGAUUGUUAAGUCAGUUGUGAAAGUUUGCGGCUCAACCGUAAAAUUGUAGUUGAAACUGGCAGUCUUGAGUACAGUAGAGGUGGGCGGAAGUCGUGGUGUAGCGGUGAAAUGCUUAGAUAUCACGAAGAACUCCGAUUGCGAAGGCAGUUCACUGGACUGCAACUGACACUGAGGCUCGAAAGUGUGGGUAUCAAACAGGAUUAGAUACCCCUGUAGUC